UCUGUGUGCUUGUCUGCAGGUCAGCAGUGCUACUGCUGCGCUUGUGAAUAGUUGUGCAACUGUUUCGCUAUUUGGGCUCGUCCUUGGCGGCUCCAAUGACUGCUAAAAUCAAGGAUCCAGCAGGCCAUUGUGGCUAUUGGGAUCCAGUUGGCAGAGCUGUUUUUGUGUGGAAGGACAGGAGAAGAUCUGAAAAAAACAAGCAUCUCCAGGAUGUACUCUGAGAGCAGCUGGAAGGUUUGGUGUGUCACUUGUGUAUUAAGUGUUGGAUGACUGCUAUCUUUAACUAGGUGAAUCUCUGACAGGAGAGCCUGUUAUUGAUGGUACCAGCAAUAGGACUGCAUCAAUGGGCCAAUUUUCACUGUAACUGUAAAUCACACUGCAUUUCUUUGUGGAAGAGAAAACCCACUGAGAGAACCAAUUCUAUUUAGCUCACCCAGCAGUGUGAACAAAUUGCCUGGAAAUGUCGUCAUCAGGCUUCAUCUGGCACUAUCUCCCCUUCUGUCUGGGUCAUUGAUUUCCUCAUCUCCUCUGCCUUAAAACUCACAUCAUACAUUAAUUUGCGACUCUCCAGUGCUGAAGCAGCUGCGCUGUGCCUUCCCUGCUCAACACCAGCAGCUUUCAGCCUCUGAAGUGUCCUUUACUGCUGCUCAUCUGAAGACCUCCUGAAUGUGUCUCAAGUGGCCUCCCUGCCUGCUACAUAACAGCAUGUGCUCUGCCAGCUUUUGUUUCAUCACAAGAGAGCUUAGAGCUGUUCUGCUCUCGGAAAUUGGGUAAGAUUCGGUCUCCUUCCUACAAUGACUCAGUGUGCUGGAGAAAUGACUCUUGCCUUGUGUGAGCAGCUAUCGCAGUGCACAGAGCUGUGCCAGCCUCUGCUAGCCACCAGCCCCCUCGGGAGCGCCCCUGAGCCAGCAAGGAGCCGGGGCUGCUCCACACUCUGCUCUUAUGAUCGCUAAAUAUAUAGUCGAUUGAUAAAUAAAACAA